rnacentral:tRNA from 1 species
UGGGUGAUUAGCUCAGUUGGUAGAGCAGCUGACUCUUAAUCAGCGGGUCGUAGGUUCGAUCCCUACAUCACCCACCAA